rnacentral:piRNA from 1 species
UAGUAACAUUUGGGGUGGCUAGGAUGGU